CAGAUACCUGCCUCUCCUAUUCUUGGGGAGGGGUAGGUCAGAGUACUUGUGCUUGACCACUGAAGACAAAGGCGUGAUUGCAGAUUAGCAUCAGGGGUUGUUAUUGCAUGCCAGAAGACCAGGAAAGUUCAGUAGCACCUCAAGAGAUGCAUAUGUAGAGCAGAGAAGAUGACCCACUCUGUAGCAGAGGCUGUGAAGACAAGACUAUAACAUGAGGACAGAGGCCAGGACAGCCCCUUAGUGUUCAGACCCCAACUUGAAAGAAACAGAUGGAAAGAGAGAAAAUUUGAAGAGCUGAACAUUUACCCAAGUGCCUAAACUGAGCUGUCCUAAGGAAAUGAUUUAAGCCAGCAGAGAUAUCUCUAAUGGGGCAGUUGAGCUUAUCUUUUAUCUUUGAGAAAAAAUAGGAAGUGAGGGACAGAAGGAGGGGAUGAUGGCUGGUGAGGAUGAUUAGCUCAAUCAUAGGAAAUAAAGACAGAUUAUGUUCUUGCACAUCUGCCCUUGCUAGAGUGAAUCUGUGACUUUACUGUGGAAAGUCUAAUCCACUGCUCCAAUGCUCAUAAUAUCCAAGAAUAUCUCCUCUUUUUCUUAAGAAAACUUCCACAGUCCUUCCUUUAACUUCCAAAGCUCUCCAUGUGUAGCACCUGUCUACCCCUCGGCUUCACCUCCAGCAGCGUGUCCUUCCUGGCUCCUUCUGCUCCAGAGCAAUUGGACCUGUUUCCUCUCCUCAAAUGCACCAAACUCUCAUCAGCAAUUUCCAUAGCCUUGAACACCUUUUCCUCUGUCUUUUCAUUGACUAUUUUCAUCCCUUAAUCCCUUAUCUAUAAGGUCACUUGCUUAGGUAGGUCUUCCCAGAUCUUUUUAUAUUAGAUAAAAUUAUUUUGUUGAAUAUACUAAUCACCACAAUAACAAAACAGAGGUUCAUAUUCCUUCCAAUUCCAAAAGAGUUUGGUAUUAUAGGAGCAAAGAAGGAAAAAGGGUCUCUAGGUGCUUAGAGGGUUCAGGAUGCGGGGUUGAUGAGGCCUGGCUCAUCAGGCCCUGAUCGGGUUAUUUAUGGAUGUAGAUUUGGUAAUUGCAUUCUUCCAUCUCAAACACCUGUUAUUCAUACCUGUGGUGCCAUUGUUUAAGAACUGAAUAGGAGGGUCUCCAAUCUCUAUUUCAAUUAUAAAUCCUAUGGAUCUCUUCCUCCGCAGACUCUUCUGUCUUGUCAUUUUGCUGACACGGAUUUUGUCACUUGGUAUCUUUAGGAACAAGGCAAGAUUUCUAACAAGAUUGUGAGAGGUAUAAAAGUCAUCUUCUGUUACAGCAGUACCUUUUAGAAAUUCAUCUUAGUCAUUCCAAAAGGAUUGUUCUCCUAAGCUGAUCUGCAUCCACAUGGAGACAAUUACCUUCCCUCUCUGCUACAGCCUCCUAAGACCAGAAUGGAAGAAACCUGACUCUGGAGCUUGACCAGAUUGGUCUUGACAAUCAAAGGAAUCAGAGAUGAAAACACGUCGAUGGCAAGGUUCCUGGCCAAACUGAAAGAGCAAUCAAAUUCCCUCGGACUCGGUUGGCAUUCCCCCAUAUUCUUAUGCCUGUUUAAAAAAAAGAAAAAAAGAAAAAAAAGAAAAUUCCCAAAAUACGUCAAACAUCUGCUAGUCUAUCAUGCUGUCUUGCAGCUGGAGUUCCUGUGAGCACCAAAAGCCUGUGAAAGGAUUUUCUAACUUUACACUACUGUCUGCUCCCACUUCCUGAGAUUUGGAUGAAGGUACCAUGCCAAAUGGGAAAAGCCUGGAGUGCUGGGAAGGCCUUGCUCCUCAUCCAUCAGAGACAGGAUUUUGGAACCUGCAUCUGCAGUUUCUGAGAGCUUAGUUUUAUAUAUUGAACGUGGAAUUCCAUGAAGAUCCAGCUCACCAAACACCCCUAAAAAAGAAAAGCACACUCCUAUUCACUACACAGUCUGAGCUGGGUGCUAGUAUAAAAUGAAAAUGUUCAUUGACAUAUUUUAUUAUGUGAUUAAACAUUUUAGAAAAAUUGCUGUUCUCUGCUUGGAACCAUAUAAGAAGACUUUGACUCUUUAACCCACUUCUGGAAAUCUGGUUCAUAAUUAAAGCCGGCAUACAAGGGUACAUGAAUGAAGAUGCUUACCACAGCAAUAUUUAGAAACACUAGGAAACUGGAAUUAAUCCAAAUGUACAUCAAUAAGAAAAGGAUGGAAUAAAGUUUAAUAUGCUAAUACUGUAGAGUAAUAGGCUAUAAAAAAGUUUAAUAAACUAACACUGUAGAGUAAUAGGCUAUAAUAUACUAAUACUGUAGAGUAAUAGGCUACAGAUUUAUCUGUAACUUUUGAUCAGGAAAUAUUUUCAUAAUAUGUUCACUGAGAAAAGAAAAUCACAUAAUAAUAUGCUUAGUUUGACCAUGUUUUAUGAAAGGAACAAUACUAUCACCAGAAAUCAGUAUGUAUAAUAUGAAUAUGGGCAUAGAUAAAAAAACAUAGGAAGACACAAAAAACUUUUAAACUAAUGCUAGUGUCCUUAAGGGAGAUAGAA